rnacentral:rRNA from 1 species
GACGAACGCUGGCGGCGUGCUUAACACAUGCAAGUCGAACGGAAAGGCCCUGCUUUUGUGGGGUUCUCGAGUGGCGAACGGGUGAGUAACACGUGAGUAACCUGCCCUUGACUUUGGGAUAACUUCAGGAAACUGGGGCUAAUACCGGAUAGGAGCUCCUGCUGCAUGGUGGGGGUUGGAAAGUUUCGGCGGUUGGGGAUGGACUCGCGGCUUAUCAGCUUGUUGGUGGGGUAGUGGCUGACCAAGGCUUUGACGGGUAGCCGGCCUGAGAGGGUGACCGGCCACAUUGGGACUGAGAUACGGCGCAGAAUCCUACGGGAGGCAGCAGGGGGGAAUAUUGCACAAUGGGCGGAAGCCUGAGGCAGCAACGCCGCGUGCGGGAUGACGGCCUUCGGGUUGUAAACCGCUUUCGCCUGUGACGAAGCGUGAGUGACGGUAAUGGGUAAAGAAGCACCGGCUAACUACGUG